CCAAGUAUAACCUUGUGUACAAGAUCGACGAAGAAGUGAAAGACGCCGCGCCUUCGUCCCUUGCAGAUAUCAAGAAGUUUGCGGAUGCCGUUUCUGUCAGCAUCAAGUCUGUUUACCCAGAGACGAGCAAUUUCUUGACAAACCAGACGAAUCCUCUUGUCAAGUCCCUGCAGUCUGCUGGCCUUCCAGUCUAUGUCUAUCUGCUGAUGAACGAGUUCCUUUCUCAGCCGUAUGACUUCUUCUCAGAUGCCACGGCACAGAUUAAUGCCCUUGUGCACAAAGGUGUAGAGGGAGGGGGAGUGGAUGGACUCAUCACCGAUUUCCCCGGGACGGCCCAUAGAUACAAACGUGCGUCUUCUUCUUCUUGCCUUUCCUUUAUAACAAACAUUUUCAUCUUGUGAACCCAAUGGAUUUUCGUGGAUUUGUGCAGUGAACUCGUGCAGGAAGAUGGGGGACAAGACGCCCUACUACAUGCUGCCUCCCCAGCGCGGCGGCCUCCUUGGGGUCAUACCGGAUAAAGCAGCAUUGCCACCAGCAAUGGCCCCAAUGCCGGUGUUGACGGACUCGGACGUGGCGGAGCCGCCCCUUCCUCCUGUGAGCAACACCACAGGUCCGGC
rnacentral:lncRNA from 1 species